rnacentral:tRNA from 1 species
GUGGCUAUAGCUCAGUUGGUUAGAGCGCUGGUUUGUGGCACCAGAGGCCGUGGGUUCAAGUCCCAUUAGCCACC